rnacentral:misc_RNA from 1 species
UAAAACAGUUCCAAUGCUGUCACGUGAUUGACCACGCCAGCCAAACCUUGGCUCUUUGACAUCUGGUUUAAGCUGGACAUGCUGUCCCCUGUCUAAAGGAAUCAGCUUCAAAACUUCACUUGCCAAUACACGAGCUUCUCCAGUACAGAAUGACACAAUGAGAUUGUCCUUGUCCACAACAUUUUGCACAAAGCCUACACU